UUUAUUAGUAAAAUAACCCAAAAAGGAAAACAGGUCCUGUGCGCGCAUAUUAUUUCUUCCCCCAAUCUCUCCUCAGUUUUCUCAGUUUCCCUGAUCUCUUAAUCAAAUCCAGUAUCCGAUCCCUAAUCAAAAACAAAAAAAAUUCACGACCAAAUAUAUUCGCGCGCCUCUUUUUUUCUCAAAAACCCUAGAUUUAUCUUUGUUUUAUGUGCUAUCCUUUAACAAAUAUAUCCGUAGAAUCCAACGAUCAGGAUUAUCUCAAAGCGUUGUGCGAGUGUCUGCAAGAGAUAUCCCAACAGUAUCUUAUGCUUCAACGUUUCCAAUUUCCAAAGCCGCAGCCUGCUAUUUUCUCCAUUAACAAUAGAUUAAAGCCCUUAAAUCUCUUGAUUCUUUUUUAACAUCGAUAUACAAACAAGUGUAUACAUGGCUCCUACUAGUCGUAAGAGGGUAAUGGCUAAUACUAAUGAUUUCAACAAUGAUGAGUUGCAAUCUAUUCCGGAUGAUGGUCAGUGUUCUGCCACUUCCGUUAAAAAGUGUGGACCCUCAACAAACAUUGCAUUGGAGGAUGUGUUGGAUAAAAAUAAGAGGCAGCCAUUAGAAGUUACGUUUAAAGAAGGACAUUUGUAGCCUGUAGGCAAGAACGCAAAACUUUGGAAGGCUGAAAUUGGAGUAGAAGCAAGAUGUUUUCCAGCUAUUUACCCCAGAUAUGAUAAGAUACCACUUGAAAAUAAGGAUGCUGUGUAUUAUAGAUUUAAGGUGUUCCCAACGAGCAUUGGAAUCUAUUGUGCGAUAGAUACAGUUCUGAGAAGUGUGUGAAUCGCAGUGAGACAAACAAAAAGAAUAGGGACAAGGUGAAGACUAAGAAUUACGGUGGCUCAAAAGCGUAUGUUUAGUACCUAGAUGAGAUGGUAAUGACAAAUGGGACUAUUCAAAUCACAUUUUAGUACUUUUUUACUUCUUUAUGCAUUAAUUUUUCAAAUUAGUUAUACUUGUAUAGUUGAAAUAUUCAACGCCCUUAUAUUUUGGUGUCUCUGUUUAAAAUAAUAUGUUUUAUACAUCAACUAAACUGAAAUGUGUGAAGUUAUUCAAAACUGUUUUAGUUUCAACUUUAAUGAGUUUUUUAGAUGAUUAAUUUGAUCAAUAUAAUAAGUUAUAUAUGUAUAUGUUCUAAAAUCCAACAUAUAUAUAUAUAUAUAUAUAUAUAUAUAUAUUGUGUAUAUGUAUAUAAUGUUUAGUAAUGAAAAUUAUAUGUAUGUAGAUAUGAAUAUGUUUGUAAUUUUGUUUGAGUUAUCGCUGGUUUUUGUUCCUUAUUGAGCUGUUUGUUAAGGUUUUAUAGCCCAGUUUGUUCAUUUUACUUGCUUAUAUAUCACAGCUUAAUAAUGAAAGUGGGGAAGAUGGAAGUGUGAUUGAAUUCUAUGCAAAAUCAUAUAUAAAGGAAAAUGGGGAAUCUAUUGAUGAAGAGGCUGAGAAGAAUUAUGUAAGAAUGUCUUCAUUGUUAAUGUUUUAAUUUUUAUUUAAAUUAAAGGAUGGUGCACAUUUAGGAUGAUAACUCUACUUCUGAACAUGUAGGCUAGAAUGCUAGAAAUGAAAAAAGUUACAAUUGAAAUUGAAGAAGUAAUAACCCAUGAGAAAGAAGAAGAAAUAAUGCUUGAAGUGCUAGGGCCUAAUAGGGAUAUGCCAACUUUGUCAAUCCAAGCUACUAAAAAAGAUGUCGAUGCAGCUAAUGCCAGGGCCGACAAAGCAGAAAAUAAUAUGGAAGAGAUGAGACAAGAGGUGCAAGAGAUGAAGGAAGAAAUGCAACAACAAAUUCAAGAAAAAGUGAAUGAGGCAAUGCUUGCUUUUAUUGCAAAUAUUGGGCAGCCUUCCACUGGACCCCAAAAUUAAUAUAGUUAGAGUUUUAGGACAUAUUUUUAAAAUUAAUUAAGACAAAUAUUUUAGAACUUUGAAUACUUUCUUGCAGUUUCUUGUAUUUUAAUAUCGAACUUAAUAUUUUUGGGAUGAUGCAUCAAUAUUCCUUGUGCCCCUCUUUCUCUCAAAAUUUUUGAAAACUCUCUUGUUUCACAUUGGAUACAGUUUUUGGAAGGAUAAUUUAUGGUAAGUUAGCUAUCUUAUAAUCAAUUCAAUUUUUAUAAUUAUUUUUUUAUCAAUAUUUUUUUACCAGGGAUACAAUUUAUUUUGCAGGUAGUUUGUCUUGUUAAGAGAGUUUCUUCUUAAUUUGUUAGAGUGUUCUAUGGGGGAAAAAAUUGUUUCAUUCUUUGGACCAGGAAUUAAUGUUGAAGUUGAGUGAUUAACUGGGACGACAUGAAGAAAACGAAGUACUCAUGACAACGACGAACUAAAGUGAUGAGAUUCCAUACGAACUUUGAGGUGCUGCCAUAGAGGGAGAGUUGGGAGUUUGCUUUUAUGUUUUAGUUUGGUCUUUAAUUUGUAUUAGACAAUUGAAAAUUUAGUUUAUAUUUUGACUUAGAAUUGAACAAAUGUAGAAAUUUAUUCAAAUUUAUGUUAAUUUUGUAUUUGAACUCAGAA